GGUCAACAAGACCCUAGGUGUGAAAUGUCACCUUCACCCUCAGCCAACUGCUUGCCCCUGCCCACCCUAGGCGUCAUAGUGUCAGCUGAAUGAGGGUCUCGCUCUUUCCAGCACGACCAGGGAAGACCAACGGGGAGUGAGAACACUGUGGUCUGUUCGUAUGUCCAGUGUAAGAACAAACUCUCAGAACCACUUCCCCUUCAAAGAGCUGGCCUGAUCUUCAAAAGCGGUAGAUUUAGGGUCACUGGGUACUAAGUGUUGUCCCGGAAUGAGCAGCACUGGCCUGCUAAUGGGAACACACAGGCACUCUCCGAGGUUAGCCUCAGGCUGAUGCUGGCACCACUGGGAGAUUUUUCAGCAGUGCAUAAGAGUAUUUGGGACCUUGCAGUUGAGUACUCAACAGGAUUUGGACAGGGGUGAUCAGCAGCAGAACACAGGCAGGUGAGUAGGAGGACCAAUGAUCCUCAGAAGAAAGGAAAGGCUGUGCCCGGUCCCUAUCCACUCGGGCCCUCCUGGUCAGCUGGCUUCCCUGUCUACAUUUUUACCUUUCCAGUGGCCUCAACAGCCUUUGGCCUGUGGAUUUCUUCAUUUGGCUCCCAAGGCUUUUAUCUUCAAGACUGCUCUCUCCCUAUCUGCAGUCUACCCUCUGUGUCUCGGUCUCUUCCCCUCUCUCUUGCUGCCCAUUUUUGUGUGUGCAUCCAGCCAGCACCAAUCAGCAGGUCUCCAGGGUCAGGUGUAGAGCCUCUUCCCUUGGAUGUGCCCUCCAGGAGCAGCUGUGCCCCUGCUGUGCCUUGGAAGCCCAGUGACUCUCUACUGCCAGGACUACCCGGAGCCUAGGUUCCAACCAAACCUGCUCCAUAAAUCCUCAGAUUCUACAUCUUUAGAACAUAUGUCACAUCCCCUACCCCAUCUUUGUGAAAUCACAAACACCAACUCUUUGACCAGUCUGCCGUCACCCAGGGUUAGUGGAUCUGAGACUGAGGGGCAUUCCAAGUAAUGGUCAACUAAGAGGCACUUGUGACUGUGGUGCCAUGGAUAGUGGGGCCCACUUGAUCUAUUGUGUUGAGGGGUAGAAGCUGUGAGGGAUCCAGUGCUACUGAGCAAGUUGACCUGCUCCAGAAUUAGAAAGGGAGACCCCUGUCCAAACCAGGGGGCCUCUCUGGCAGAUUAACCUCCCAUUACACCAGUAUAUCUAGAAUUAUUUAACAUAACCCAGGACCAACACCAGAUAAAGACAGGUUAAAAAAAAAAAAGGUAAGUGGAGCCCACUACUUCCAAGGACCUAAAAACAAAAAUCCUUAAGAGAGGAUCAGCAAGUUGAUUCCAGCGAUACAUGAAAAGAAUACUUGUGAACUUAUAGGACUUUUGUCUAGGAAUGCCCAGUUAAUGCUUCAAACUAUUUUUUAGUAGGUUAGGCCAUUAUGCCAGGAAAAAAAAAACCCUGUAAUACACAGUCAUUAAAAAAAAUGUUUCCCAUUGCCUUACCUAGUGUCAGGCAGAUCCCAGCACCCGUAGCGUGAGGGUCCUAGGGAAAGUCCUCUGCCUUCUCCAACUGCUUUUUUUUGGUUUUGUUUUGAGACAGGCUCUCUCCAUGUACUCCAGGCUGACCUCAAGUUUGCCAUGAUCCCCCUUCCAAGUCUUGAGAUUACAGGCAUGUACUGCCAUGCCUGCUUCUGCCUGCCCAGGGAGAGAGGCUACAGAGCAUUUGGGGGGACAGUCAAGAGGGAGACAAAGAAGCCAGGAGAGGCUCAGAAUUCCUGCAGACUGGGCUUGCUUCUCAUUAGCCUGGCUAACCUAGAGAAAGAGAAAGGACUAGAUAACCCCAAGACUAACGAACAUAAGUCACAGGGCAAAGGCCACUAUUUUGGAACUGCUUUUACAGUGAUUCAGCUGUGGGAGGGCCUUAGGGAAGGCAGGUGGCCAAGCUGUAGGCCCAUGUGGAGUGCGGUUGGGAAGGUGUACCUCCACUUAUCUUCACUUGUUCCUCCAUCUGGUCUAUUAUUUUAUUCACAUUUGUCCAAGAAGAAAACGAGGCUAAGAGAACACAGCGCUGGCCUUGGGAAGGGUUGCACAGCUCUCUGAAUGCGGAUAAGAGACUGGCGUGUGGAUACAUCUGAAGAGGACCACAAGCCAUAAAGAAUUGAUGAAGAGAGAAACUGUGUCCAAGGCAAUUGAGCAAACACUGUCUGCAUGGAGUCUUCCCAGACCACUGGUUACAGAUGAAUCAAGACAGAAUGAGUUUAGAGAUGUACAUCAAGGCAUCUCCCGCCUCAGACACCUCCAAAGCAUUCCUCAGCUGCCAAGGAAGAGCAUCUCAGUCAUGGAACCUCCGAUACCAUGGUCCUCUCUUGGUCCUGAACUGACCAUUUUCCAAGUGAUGACCAUUUUCCAAGUGAGGGUAAGGAGCUGCCUAUGGUUAUCAUGGCUACUGAGUGUGCAUCGAACUGCCCCAUGUUUGCUCAUACAUGAAGAAAUAUGAAUCCCGUUUCACCUGAGCAGUGUGAUCCUUGAACCUUCAACUCUGUGAAGAAACCACAGAGAUCUGUCCUCCUCACUUCCUUCCUCAAGGUCCAGGGUGGGAACAAACCUGGGCUGUGAGCUGGAGCCCCACAGCAGCCCUGAGGCUUGGUGUACUGCAGACAUCAAGCCUUUUAUGGCUGGUAUAGUUGUGGGGUCUCAUAGAAAUCCACAGUCCUCCCUCUCAGGUAAGGACCUCUGUAGAGAGACUGUAGUCCAGGUGGUUAUAGGGUGCUAGUCUUAGAGGGUACCCUGAUACUCAGGGGGAGGGCACUGAUGGUCCUGCAGUUCUCGAGGGCUUGAACUUUCCUCUCCACCCCCGGCUACCCUCUGCUCGGUAGUCAUUGUCCCUCGCUUCCUCCGUGGUAUCAUUCAACACAACAGCAAGGCAGCUGAAGGUCUCCCACAUCCUUUGAGGUCCAGCCCCACCAUCCUCACCUUGAGAGCAAAGGCCAGGGACUUGCUCAUUGUCAAGGCCACCAUCCCUCCUUGUCCCUCUUAGCCCUGACCCUCUGGGAAGCUUGAAAUCUGCACAGUGCCUCCUUGUAGUCAGAGUCCCCUGUAUAUCCCCUAAUCACCAUUUGAUCUCUCCCCAUCUCACUCCAAGCCCCCUACUCUAUGAGCCUUUCCCUAACAUGUACCAGUGUUAAGGUGAAUGCCAAACACACCCUGAGCACCUCCUGAACAAUUGUGUCUAGGUCCUUGCAAAGGCAGGACUCAGACAGACCCAGGGCUGCGAGAGGAGUGUUGUUCCCUGGCUUUCCCAAAGGCCCCGUCACAGAACCAGCACCUCGUCCUCUGGAUAGGCACCGGUGCUGGAUGUGACCAACAGACCUGCCUGGCUAGGGCAACGUACAGGGAGUGACCACAGACUUGCACCUGACAGACUGCUGUUCUUCCCUCACGGCUAUAAGGGGGACAGAUCUCUGGUGGCUUCUCCAGGUUUGACACAGGGACAGAGGGACUCUAAACGACACCCUGGAGUCACAGCACUGAGCCACAGGCCAGCUGUCCUGCACACAUGCUUGUACUGCACACGGACACGCCUGGGGUUGUUGAUGGCUGUGUCAUACUAUGUCUCUGGUGACAGACUAGUGUUCCUGCCACCCCUCCUACCCCAGCCUGGUGACCCCGGGCCACAGUCCAGACAAGCAUCAGAGCCCCUUGGCAAUUCUCUCCAUUUGUAUUUCCCACAGCCCAUUUCCCCUCCUGUUAGGU